AACAAAUAAGGAAUAAUAGUUAUGUGCAAAUAUACAAUUGAAAUCCGAAAUCAUGGGGAGAAGGCAGCCUGCACCAACCAAGAAUUCUUGAGCUGUGACACAGCGCUUUCCCUGAACCCCUUCACCUCAACCAAACAGAAGUGGGUGCAACACAUUCCCAACCCAGACGCAACGCUUGUGGUCUUCAACAAAUAACACAAUGGUCCACCACCACACUCUUCCUUAAUAGUACUUUUACAUUAUUUGGGCCUUACAAGAUGGAACUACGGUUAUCAUUUGAGGAAAAACUAAUCGAGCAAAGGCUGAAUUUCCAGAGGAGAUGACUUGAUUGGGUUCCAGAAAUAGUUAAAUCAUCUCUUUCGAAGGAGCCUGCUAAAGUUAGUGGCUAGGUUAUGAGGCAUUUAGAUACAAUUUUAAACUCUGAAGUAAAGCAGAGAGGUGGCUCGAAUACAAUCUGACGUCCAGUUCUGAAAUCGAGGGCACUGCUCCAUCCCAAUUGAACUAAACUUUGGCACAGAAGGUGAAUUUGUCUUUCCAAAUGUAUGGUUUCAGGCCUUUUUCAGCUCAUAUUGCAGAUUCCACAGCCAGGUUUUGAGACACCAGUUUUACAGUCUUUUUCUGCCGAAUUGCUUAUCCUCCAAUUAUUUCACUUACCAUACAAGAUGUAAAUUUCAGACUGAAAAAAAUAUCAUAAAUAAUAUAUCAUUCUUUACUGUC